rnacentral:tRNA from 6 species
GGAGGCGUCGCCUAGUCCGGUCGAUGGCGCCCGCCUGCUAAGCGGGUUGAGGGUUACCCCCUCUCGCGGGUUCAAAUCCCGCCGCCUCCG